UGGGCGUCGAGCGGCGGACGGGUGAGUAAUGCCUAGGAAAUUGCCUUGAUGUGGGGGAUAACCAUUGGAAACGAUGGCUAAUACCGCAUAAUGCCUACGGGCCAAAGAGGGGGAUCUUCGGACCUCUCGCGUCAAGAUAUGCCUAGGUGGGAUUAGCUAGUUGGUGAGGUAAUGGCUCACCAAGGCGACGAUCCCUAGCUGGUCUGAGAGGAUGAUCAGCACACUGGAACUGAGACACGGUCCAGACUCCUACGGGAGGCAGCAGUGGGGAAUAUUGCACAAUGGGCGAAAGCCUGAUGCAGCCAUGCCGCGUGUAUGAAGAAGGCCUUCGGGUUGUAAAGUACUUUCAGUUGUGAGGAA
rnacentral:rRNA from 1 species